ACUGGAGUUUGAUCCUGGCUCAGAUUGAACGCUGGCGGCAUGCUUUACACAUGCAAGUCGAACGGUAACAGGCCGCAAGGUGCUGACGAGUGGCGAACGGGUGAGUAAUGCAUCGGAACGUGCCCAGUCGUGGGGGAUAACGCAGCGAAAGCUGUGCUAAUACCGCAUACGAUCUAUGGAUGAAAGCGGGGGACCGUAAGGCCUCGCGCGAUUGGAGCGGCCGAUGUCAG
rnacentral:rRNA from 1 species